rnacentral:rRNA from 1 species
UACAGAGGGGGCAGGCGUUGUUCGGAAUUACUGGGCGUAAAGGGCGCGUAGGCGGCCUUCUAAGUCGAACGUGAAAUCCCUGGGCUCAACCCAGGAACUGCGUCCGAUACUGGAAGGCUUGAAUCCGGGAGAGGGAUGCGGAAUUCCAGGUGUAGCGGUGAAAUGCGUAGAUAUCUGGAGGAACACCAAUGGCGAAAGCAGCUUUCUGGGACGGUACUGACGCUGAGACGCGAAAGCGUGGGGAGCGAACAGG